CGAUUCUGGCUCAGGAUGAACGCUAGCGGCAGGCUUAACACAUGCAAGUCGAGGGGCAUCGGGAGUAGCAAUACUUGCCGGCGACCGGCGCAAGGGUGCGUAACGCGUGAGCAACAUGCCCGUAUCAGGGGGAUAAUCCAUGGAAACGUGGUCUAAUACCCCAUAGUAAUUAUGUAAGGCAUCUUAUAUAAUUUAAAGCUUUGGUGGAUACGGAUUGGCUCGCGUGACAUUAGCUGGAUGGUAAGGUAACGGCUUACCAUGGCUACGAUGUCUAGGGGUUCUGAGAGGAAGGUCCCCCACACUGGAACUGAGACACGGUCCAGACUCCUACGGGAGGCAGCAGUGAGGAAUAUUGGACAAUGGAUGGAAAUCUGAUCCAGCCAUGCCGCGUGCCAGGAAGACGGCCCUAUGGGUUGUAAACUGCUUUUGUAUGGGAGCAAUAAGGGCUACGUGUAGUCCGAUGAGAGUACCAUACGAAUAAGCACCGGCUAACUCCGUGCCAGCCGCGGC
rnacentral:rRNA from 1 species